rnacentral:tRNA from 1 species
GCGGAUGUGGCGGAAUGGCAGACGCGCAAGACUCAGGAUCUUGUGGGGUAAACUCCCCGUGGGGGUUCAAAUCCCCCCAUCCGCACCA